GGCGCGAAACCUUUACACUGCACGCAAGUGCGAUAAGGGGACCCCAAGUGCGAGGGCAUAUAGUCCUCGCUUUUCUCGACUGUAAGGCGGUCGAGGAAUAAGAGCUGGGCAAGACCGGUGCCAGCCGCCGCGGUAAUACCGGCAGCUCAAGUGAUGACCGAUAUUAUUGGGCCUAAAGCGUCCGUAGCCGGCCACGAAGGUUCAUCGGGAAAUCCGCCAGCUCAACUGGCGGGCGUCCGGUGAAAACCACAUGGCUUGGGACCGGAAGGCUCGAGGGGUACGUCCGGGGUAGGAGUGAAAUCCCGUAAUCCUGGACGGACCACCGAUGGCGAAAGCACCUCGAGAAGACGGAUCCGACGGUGAGGGACGAAAGCUAGGGUCUCGAACCGGAUUAGAUACCCGGGUAGUCCUAGCUGUAAACGAUGCUCGCUAGGUGUGACACAGGCUACGAGCCUGUGUUGUGCCGUAGGGAAGCCGAGAAGCGAGCCGC
rnacentral:rRNA from 1 species